AGGGUCUUCAGGGGAGGCCCCUCCAGCGAGGACUGGGAGGUGGGAAGGGGAAGGGCCCCCGAAACAGACCUUUGGGUCAGACUGCUGUCUUGUGUUUCUCCUUUUGCUCCGUGACUGCUCGAUAGACACGGCAGCCUGUGUGCGCCCUGUGCUGGCUGCGGAUGCUUCUAGAUGUGGGGGGAGGACAGAGGAUGUGAGAAAUGAGCAAGGAAGAGACGCCAUGAAGGAUGUCGCCGUGUGAUUCCAGCUCUGUGGCGUUCUGGAAAAGGCACAGUGAUGGAGCCAGUGAGAGAGGUGGGUGGUGGCCAGGGUCCUGUGGGGAGGGGUGAACAGCCGGAGCUUGGGGGCUUUAGGGCAGUGAGAGGACUCUGUGUGCUAACUCACACCAGGUGGAUGCAUGAUGGACAUUCGCCCAAACCCACAGAACAUUCAACACCAAAAGCAAACCUUAAUGUCAUCCCUAGACUCUGGUGCUGGAGACGCAUCAGUGCAGGGUCACAAUUGUGACAAACGUCUCCCUGGUGUGGAUACUGGCAGUCAGGAGGCUGCUCAUGUGGGGGCAAGGGAACUUGGAGAAUCUCUGUGCCUUCCCCCCAGUUUUGCUGCAAACCUACAACUACUCUGAAAAGAUUGAAGCCUAUUUAAAAGGGGGAAAAGGAUUGAUAGAAGCUUUUAAAGCUAAGCAACACUGCUUUUGGCCUGAGACCCAGGUGGCAGCAGCACGGAGACCACACUCUCUGAGGAGGACAGACAGAAGGACAGCCGGUGAAAGACGAGGACGGUGGUACAGCCUCGGAAGCCAGCAUGCAGAGAGGGCCGCGCACAAUAGAAGGGACGGAGGCACUGUUGGAAAAUGCAGCCCUGGGUGUCAGUCUCAGAAAGCCUGUUUCCGAAACAAACAACAGCUACGAAGAGGGUGGAAUGGGAAGCAGGGAACCUGCGGGGGAGAGAGGAGCCACAGGGACACCCAGGAGAGGUGGUACCUGAACACCCCACUCAUGUGCCUCAGCAGAUUUCUAAGCAUCAGACACUGUGAUAUGGAUACAAACACCAUUUACACUAUGCGGACUUUCGAGUGCACGAAGCAAGGUGUCACUCUGAUGAUGACCUGCGCAUUUCUGCUGAUGAACACAAGACGAAGGGAGUCACGUUUGGUCUUUCCUUUGGGAGUUUCGUGUUUGGGAGGUCAGCAAAUAUCUCGGACCAAUUCUCAAGUUCAUGGACACUUCUUUGGUGUUGUACAACUCCUGUUGCCGCUUUGGGUAAACUGAAAGAAGCAAGCUGGUGUUGACAUUUCAUUCAGGAGCUGUGCUGAGACCACGGAGUUUCACUUCAUACCCCCCUAACUGACCAUGAGCUGACAUGGGAAACCAACAGGGAAGCCUCUGAAGUGUCCAAACAACAUUGCUGCCCAGCUUAAUAUGUUGUCAAUUAAAAGAAUGAUCUUAAGAAUUGUUGUCCCUGGGGCUCCAUCCUUGGUCAUAGGCUCAUUCCAAGGCUGCAUCAAGGCUGUCCCCAUGCGCCCCAAGCUAGGGUACCACAGUUUCUGCCAGAGCCCCCCACCUGGAUGUCCUGCAAAUCUGCCUCUGAGGCCACUUCCUCCCAUGUCUUCACCAUGGGGGUGGCACCUCUGUCCACACGAGCUCCUGAGCUGCAGACCCUGGAGACUUGACCUCCUUCUUCUCCAUCUUCUACCCACGCAAUUCACCAAACUCUCCUUCCCAGAUUGAGUUCAUUGCCGUUCUUAGUGCAAAUGUGAAUGCUCAUCAGUGUCAGUGACCACGUGAUAUAUUUACCUGCUAAAAAUCUAUGUCUCAACCGGUCUGUGAGCAACGUGGGGGCAGAGGACACAAUUUAUUUCCCCUUUCAAUCCAUUAUCCCUAGCAGCAUCUGACAUAUGAUCUCGAUAUACAUUUGUUGGAUUAAAACUAUUGAAUGACUUGCAGAAGCAAAGUGCUAGCCAAGCAUGAGCUGCAGCAAGCGCAUGAAUGGCAGCAGUCAGGGGGAAACUAAUGGUCCCCAGACAUUUGACCGUGUACUGGGGGCAGCCCCAUCCAAUGGCUCUGAGCAUCCAGACCUCUCUCCAGCUUCAGCUGGGUACCGGCCACCUUUGGGGUUGCCUCAGGAACAUGACAGCAGAGAUGGGGGAGGUCUGUUCAAGUAUGUAUCUGUGUCCAAGCCGUCUCUUCUCCUGAGGACAGCAAAUAUCCUGGAUUAUGGCCCACCCUUGUGACCUCAUCUUAACUCAGUAUUGGGUAUUGGCUCUCCAUCACUGGAAUUUGGGGAGACAGGGACAUGGUUCAACACAAUCCAGUGUGGAGAUGUUGAGGGGCCUCAAGCCAGAAGUCUGGAAGCAGAGAGCAUUCAAGAGGAUGGCGCUCCUUUGCCUCAGCCAGAGGCGGACUGUGUCUGAGUGCUUGACCAAGGCUGGUGAGUGAUCUGUCAGGAUCCCCGUGGGGCCCUGGAGACUCACAGGCCUCAGCCCCCUACACACAGCAAACCUUACACGGGUGGCUGAUGUGUGUCCAUCAAAACACUAUUCUGAAAAUGUUGGCAAGGCAUAACCAAGGAUAGUUGAGGGGAAACUUCUCUUGGUAGAGUUCUUUCACCAAACAGAUGAAUAAGAAUAGAAGGAACAGAAUAGCAGCAUUGUGCAGCCCUGGCUGCUGGAGUCAUGGGUCCAGGCUUCAUGCAUGACGACCCCUGGCACCAGCGUCAUGUGCUCCCUGCCUCACCCUGCCUCCACCCUGCAGCUCUUGCCCAAAACCCACAUCCCCCCCCAUUGAGCCUGGUGACCUGGAUUCCGACUUCUAGGACCACACAAGAUGAAGAGUAGUAACAUGGCCAUUGCAGACGGGAUUGGUGAGCCUACACCAGGAAGCUCCGCCAGACACAGAAACUGGAUUCUCCCACGCAUGCAGAUGAGGAAAGUGGGGAGUCUCCGAAGAUUAAAGGAGGUUUAGGGAUAUCACUCCCAGGACAAGAGUGUGGCACUGCUUUGGCUCCUGAUUUAAAUCAACACGUGUAAAAUUUAAAAAAAUAAAAGCACGCAAAUGUGGUUGGACUCCA
rnacentral:lncRNA from 12 species